GAAUAGGUCACAGGAUAUCAGUCGGUGUUUUUACUCCCAUUCUCCCACCCCAUGGAACAGAGUCAGUGCCCACAGAGGUCUGGUGGGUGUGCAGGGUGGGAGGGGAAGGUUAAAGACUGUGAGGGACAAAAGACACAGAUGUGGCCAUUUUUUAAUUUUUAAUUUUUAUUUUUUGGUACCGGGGAUCGAACUCAGUGCUUGCACAGCAAGCAGGCAGCAAAACCACUGAGCGAAUUCUCAGGCCCUAUUUAUUUAUCUUCAUUUUCUCCCCAAAUGGAAUCAAGGCACGCAGGUGAUACAGCAAGAUGGGGUGAUUAGAUCAGAGUUUGGGGGCUGGUGAAAGUUAAUGUUUAGAAGCAUAGGUCAAGGCCAAGGGUGAGGCUAAGACCCCAAGUUAAUGCCACUAGGUUCUUUCCCUCAUCUGAUCUCUUGGGCUGCUUCCUUUCCCGUCUCAUGGCCUCAGUGAUGCACAUGGUCUUCUGUCCCAGGCUGACCCCUGUGAGUAAGCAGGAUGGCCGUGGGAACCAGCAAGGGUACCUCGGCUGCGGCCAAGGAGGAACAGGGAUGCCACCUCAUCUUCCGGGUUUUGCAGGGACACUCCAGGGCAGCAGGAACACAGGGUCCAGAGGACAGCACCAAGGACAACAGGGACCCUCUGUCCAAGAAAGAGCAUUUCACAGUCAGAGCUGCGAGGGCCAGCCUCCUGCUUUGACAGGCUGUCCUUGUCACCUUGUCCUUGUCACUUAA
rnacentral:lncRNA from 1 species